GUGAAAUCCCGGGGCUCAACCCCGGAACUGCCUUUGAUACUGUCAGUCUAGAGUCCGGAAGAGGUGAAUGGAACUCCUAGUGUAGAGGUGAAAUUCGUAGAUAUUAGUGAAGAACACCAGUGGCGAAGGCGAUUCACUGGUCCGGUACUGACGCUGAGGUGCGAAAGCGUGGAGCAAACAGGAUUAGAUACCCUGGUAGUCCACGCCGUAAACGAUGGAUGCUAGCUGUUGGGCAGUAUACUGUUCAGUGGCGCAGCUAACGCAUUAAGCAUCCCGCCUGGGGAGUACGGUCGCAAGAUUAAAACUC
rnacentral:rRNA from 1 species